rnacentral:rRNA from 1 species
GGGUUGUGAGGUUAAGCGACUAAGCGUACACGGUGGAUGCCCUGGCAGUCAGAGGCGAUGAAGGACGUGCUAAUCUGCGAUAAGCGUCGGUAAGGUGAUAUGAACCGUUAUAACCGGCGAUUUCCGAAUGGGGAAACCCAGUGUGUUUCGACACACUAUCAUUAACUGAAUCCAUAGGUUAAUGAGGCGAACCGGGGGAACUGAAACAUCUAAGUACCCCGAGGAAAAGAAAUCAACCGAGAUUCCCCCAGUAGCGGCGAGCGAACGGGGAGCAGCCCAGAGCCUGAAUCAGUGUGUGUGUUAGUGGAAGCGUCUGGAAAGGCGCGCGAUACAGGGUGACAGCCCCGUACACAAAAAUGCACAUACUGUGAGCUCGAUGAGUAGGGCGGGACACGUGGUAUCCUGUCUGAAUAUGGGGGGACCAUCCUCCAAGGCUAAAUACUCCUGACUGACCGAUAGUGAACCAGUACCGUGAGGGAAAGGCGAAAAGAACCCCGGCGAGGGGAGUGAAAAAGAACCUGAAACCGUGUACGUACAAGCAGUGGGAGCACGCUUCGGCGUGUGACUGCGUACCUUUUGUAUAAUGGGUCAGCGACUUAUAUUCUGUAGCAAGGUUAACCGAAUAGGGGAGCCGAAGGGAAACCGAGUCUUAACUGGGCGUUAAGUUGCAGGGUAUAGACCCGAAACCCGGUGAUCUAGCCAUGGGCAGGUUGAAGGUUGGGUAACACUAACUGGAGGACCGAACCGACUAAUGUUGAAAAAUUAGCGGAUGACUUGUGGCUGGGGGUGAAAGGCCAAUCAAACCGGGAGAUAGCUGGUUCUCCCCGAAAGCUAUUUAGGUAGCGCCUCGUGAACUCAUCUUCGGGGGUAGAGCACUGUUUCGGCAAGGGGGUCAUCCCGACUUACCAACCCGAUGCAAACUGCGAAUACCGGAGAAUGUUAUCACGGGAGACACAC